UACAGAGGUCCCGAGCGUUGUUCGGAUUCAUUGGGCGUAAAGGGUGCGUAGGCGGCGGGGCAAGUCUGAUGUGAAAUCCCGGGGCUCAACCCCGGAACUGCAUUGGAUACUGCCUUGCUUGAGUACUGGAGAGGGAACUGGAAUUUACGGUGUAGCAGUGAGAUGCGUAGAGAUCGUAAGGAAGGCCAGUGGCGAAGGCGAGUUCCUGGACAGUUACUGACGCUGAGGAGCGAAAGCCAGGGGAGCAAACGGG
rnacentral:rRNA from 1 species